rnacentral:rRNA from 1 species
UACCAGCACCCCGAGUGGUCGGGACGAUUAUUGGGCCUAAAGCAUCCGUAGCCGGUCCUGCAAGUCUUCCGUUAAAUCCAGCUGCUCAACAGAUGGGCUGCGGGGAUACUACAGGGCUAGGAGGCGGGAGAGGCAAGCGGUACUUUAUGGGUAGGGGUAAAAUCCGUUGAUCCAUAGAAGACCACCAGUGGCGAAGGCGGCUUGCCAGAACGCGCUCGACGGUGAGGAUGAAAGCUGGGGAGCAAACCGG